rnacentral:lncRNA from 1 species
AUGACUGAAACCUGGCUACAGCCAGAAGAAUAUGUUAGUUUAAAUGAAUCAACACCUCCCUCUUAUAAUAAUACUCAUAUUCCUCGGACCACAGGACGAGGAGGAGGAGUAGCAGCAAUCUACCAAGCAGACUUAUUGCUUAACGCUCGACUUAACCAUAGUUUUAACUCAUUUGAAAGCCUAACUCUUAGCCUCCUUCACCCUAGCUGGAAUUGUCAAAAACCAGUUAUUGUAGUCGUUGUUUAUCGACCACCAGGCCCUUACUCUGAAUUUUUAUCUGAAUUUUCAGACUUUUUAUCUGAGUUGGUGCUUAGCACAGAUAAAGUUAUUAUAGUGGGUGACUUCAACGUUCAUGUGGAUGUUGCCAACGACAGUCUUAGUUCUGCCGGGAAUUCGCUCAUAGACUCAAUUGGUUUUACUCAACAUGUAAACAAACCCACUCACUGUUUUAAUCACACCCUCGACCUCGUUCUGACCUAUGGCAUAGACAUUGACAAUCUUAUAGUAUUUCCUCAAAACCCUCUGUCCGAUCACUACUUAGUUACAUUUGAAUUCUCCAUUAUUAACUUUACUGAAUUUGGAGAAAAGUUCUAUUACAGCAGGUGUCUAUCAGAAAACUCUGUUAGUAAAUUCAAAGAAACAGUUCCUUCGUUAUUUACUCUACUGCCAUGUGUCGAUACAGUGCAGGAUCGUUAUCAAAACUUUACUCCCAUACAAAUUGAUGAUGUUGUUGAUAGUGCAGCAGCCUCACUACGUUCCACACUUGACACUGUCGCCCCUCUGAAAAAGAAGACAGUCAAACAGAGGAGGAUAGCUCCAUGGUUUAAUGCACAGACACGCGCUUUAAAACAGACGUCACGUAGGUUAGAAAGGAAGUGGCGUUCCAAUAGUCUAGAUGAUUCUCACCUAGACUGGAAAAAUAGUUUAAUUACAUAUAAGAAAGCCCUCCGAAAUGCCAGAACCAAUUAUUUUUCUUCACUAAUAGAGGAAAAUAAAAACAACCCCAGGUUCCUCUUCAGCACUGUAGCCAGGCUUGACUGA